CCUUUAAGACAAGCACAACAAAACAUCUUUUAAACUUGAAAGAAGAAUGAGUUAAUAGCAUGACCAUGACUAGCAUAACAUCUCUCAAAAAUCAGGGCUGGACACAUAAAAGAAAGUCACGGAGAGAAACGGGAGAUAUUGUGCACAUUGAAUGGCUUGAACAUAAAAAGAAAGAUCCGUUUCCCUGUGUCCUUCUAUGUGCUGAGUGUGUGGCUGGGGUUUUUGUGUGUGAUGUUCGUGUGUCUGUGGAGUGGGACCUGGAGAGGAGGAUUUGCCUGGGAUGAAUCUUUUCUGCAGUUUAACUUGCACCCGUUCCUCAUGGUGACGAGUCUCGUGGUGCUGUAUGGAAAUGCCAUAGUCCUGUACCGUGUUCCUUUCACCUGGAGCAGGUGGUGGUGGUGUAAGCGGGCCCAUGCAGGGCUGUUGUUUGUGGCCAUGGUGCUGUCUGUGCUAGGAGUGUGUGCUGCCUUUGAUUUUCACAUUGCCAACAACAUCCCUCAUCUGUGUUCAUUACACAGCUGGACUGGGAUCUCCACAGUGGCCCUAUUCACUUUGCAGGUACAGUAUACAUGGUCAAGCCUGAUUGAAAUGUCACAGUAUUUUCAUUGCUUCAUGCUUAGCAAAGCUCCAUGAGUAUGUUCUACUCCAUCAAAUUUUAAAGAAAUGAUGCUUGACAUGGUCUCCUGUGCCUUUCUCCUCUGAUUGAAUAGUGGUUUGUGGGUCUAUGGGAGAAAUGGAAGCGAUACCAAACCAUAUCCGCCACUGCCUGCUGAAGCUCUGUUUGCAAACUCAUAGGCAUUGCAGUUGUUAUUUUUGGAUUGUUAGUGCUGAAACUUUUGUCCAGUCAGAAAUGGAAGAAUCCAGAGUCUGAGAUUGAAACUGACAGAGUAAGUAUAUGAUGACAUUCACUUUAAGAUGCCAAAAAUUAAUUGUAAGU